rnacentral:rRNA from 1 species
UACAGAGGUCCCGAGCGUUGUUCGGAUUCACUGGGCGUAAAGGGUGCGUAGGUGGUGAGGUAAGUCGGAUGUGAAAUCUCCAGGCUCAACCUGGAAACUGCAUUGGAAACUACCUUGCUGGAGGAUUUGAGGGGGGAUUGGAAUACUUGGUGUAGCAGUGAAAUGCGUAGAUAUCAAGUGGAACACCAGUGGCGAAGGCGAAUCCCUGGACAACUCCUGACACUGAGGCACGAAAGCUAGGGGAGCAAACAGG